rnacentral:rRNA from 1 species
UGGAUUAGGCAUGCAAGUCGAACGAAGCAGCAAUGCUUAGUGGCGGAAGGGUGAGGAACGCGUGAGUAAUCUGCCCUCAAGUUGGGAAUAACAGCUGGAAACGGCUGCUAAUACCGAAUGUGGCUGUUUGGUCGCAUGAUCGAACAGUUAAAGAUUUAUUGCUUGAGGAUGAGCUCGCGUCCCAUUAGCUAGUUGGCGGGGCAACGGCCCACCAAGGCGAUGAUGGGUAGCUGGUCUGAGAGGAUGGUCAGCCACACUGGGACUGAGACACUGCCCAGACUCCUACGGGAGGCUGCAGUCGAGAAUCUUGGGCAAUGCGCGAAAGCGUGACCCAGCAAUGCCGCGUGCGUGAUGAAGGUCUUCGGAUUGUAAAGCGCUGUCAACCGGGACGAAAGAUGACGGUACCGGUGAAGGAAGCCACGGCUAACUACGUGCCAGCAGCCGCGGUAAUACGUAGGUGGCGAGCGUUGUUCGGAUUUAUUGGGCGUAAAGGGUCUUUAGGAGGUUCGUUAAAUGCGGGGUGAAAUCCGGGGGCUCAACUCCCGAACUGCCCUGUAGACUGAUGGACUAGGGUACUGGAGAGGUAAGCGGAAUACCAAGUGUAGCGGUGGAAUGCGUAGAUAUUUGGUAGAACACCAAGAGCGAAGGCAGCUUACUGGACUUUAACCGACUCUGAAGGACGAAAGCGUGGGGAGCAAACAGGAUUAGAUACCCUGGUAGUCCACGCCGUAAACGUUGUCAACUUGAUGUGGGCGGAUUUAGACCCGUCCGUAUCGAAGCUAACGCGAUAAGUUGACCGCCUGGGGGACUACGGCCGCAAGGCUAAAACUCAAAGGAAUUGACGGGGGCCCGCACAAGCGGUGGAGCAUGUGGCUUAAUUCGAGGCAACGCGAAGAACCUUACCUGGGCUUGAAAUAUAAGUGACCGCCUGUGAAAGCAGUUUCUCUUCGGAGCGCUUAUACAGGUGCUGCAUGGCUGUCGUCAGCUCGUGCCGUGAGUGUUCGGUUAAGUCCGGCAACGAGCGCACCCGUGUCAUAGUUACCAUCAGGUGAGCUGGGACUCUAUUGAGACUGCCCGUGUUAAGCGGGAGAGCCCGAUGACGUCAGUCAGUAUGGCCCUUACGCCCAUCUGCACACUGCUACAAUGGGGGUACAAUGAAAGCAAUCCGGAAUGAGCAUCUACAACCUCCUAAUCGAAUGAUCUGCAACUGCAUACUGAACUGAUCAGUAGCUACACUCACCCUGAUACGUCCGGCCUGUACACGCCGGUCA